CCAGCCCCCACGCGCGGCGUGGCUGGGGGCGAGGCCCGCCCCACACCCCGGCCACCCCAGCCGCGCCCCCUGCCCUACCGGCCCACCCCACCCCCCAGUCCCCGCCACACUGCGCCCCCAAACCAUCCUGCUCCACCCCUCGCCCCUCCAUCGCCAUUGCCACCGGAGAUCAGAAACUCUUGGCCCACGCGCCCAAUCCAGCCUGAAGCCAGGCUUGGUUUGACACCACAGCAUUUUUUUUGUUGUUUUUAAUUAGAAUUAAUUCCCAUCAUUUAAAAAUCGGGAAUUUUCACAUAAAAAUCCACAUAGCAGCUCAGUUUGGAAGAGAAGAGGCUCGGGCAGGAGCCUGCCCCUCCCGCAGGGCCGCUUGGCAGCGGUCUUGGGAACACUGGCCCGCAGCUGGCCUCGGUCCCCACCGGGCCCACCUGCCCGCCCGGCACGCGAGCUCUCCUGCCCGCGCCAGCCCCAGCCCCCCAGUGCCUCGGCCGGGUCCCCUGUGAAGAUUGCCAGCCUCAGCCCCUUCUGAAGGCCCUCUUCCCACUGCCCCGUCCUCUCCUGGGCCCGCAGCCCCGCCCGCCUGCUUGCUUCCUUGCCGCCUGGCACUGGGGUCUGUGCGGCUGUGCCCACACCACAGGGCUCAGCUCUCUGGCUGGAGGCCCCGCCAUCCUGGCUCUGGGCCUGGCCCACAGUAGGCUUUCAGUGAGCGUUGGCUGAGCGGUAACUGAACAGCAGCGGGGCCUGGGAUUCCAUGAGGCGGCCUGGGCCGUGGCGGGCACAGGGCACUGCUCCCCAUGGCUGAUGUUCAUUUUAAAAGCCCCAAAUGUUCAUUCAGCGCAGCUCUCGCCAACCAAGAAAGCUAAUGAUUUCCAUGCUUUAUUUUUCUCCACCUUAAUCCAGUCACUGGCAAGGCUGCCAGGCCUCUGUUGCUGCUGCCCCCAGACUGGCAUCAACUCUCCCAGAAGGUGCAGCCCACCUGGGCCAGAGCCUCAGGAUCUGAGGGGAGUGCUGCCUGGCAUCCCGGAAGGAGGACAGGAGCCCAGACAGCCCCACACAGCUCAGCUGAAGCCCCUAGGCAGGUGUCUAAGUACCACUGCAUCUUGCUGCUUCCAGAGCAGAGCCCACCGAGGAGCCAGGUGAGAGAGAAACAUCACAGGUUUCUACUAAAAAUCUGUCACACACCGUCAUCGCCAGGAUCCCUCUUUACAGAGAAGAAAUAAGAUCCAAGAGCGUGAUCUCCAGGUGACAAAUGUGGAGGGCACUAAGAGCCUGUAUGAUCCACAAUUGUCACUGCCCCAAAGGAAAGCAAGACCCCUCACGCCUGAACAGAGCCUAGUGCAGGCCGUGGAGCUGGUCGGGAUGGGGAGCUGCGCACAUGCGCCCCAAGGCCAGUCCCAGAUAGGGCGCCCUCCUGGAGCCUCGCACAACCUGGGCAAAUACCACAACCCUGUCCUCCACCUCUUCUCUACCCACUUGCCACCAUGGCCACACCACGCCAGGUGCUCGCCUCAGUGAGGGGCCAGGAAACAGGCCAGGCUCCACAGCCAGCUGCCAUAUCCAAGUCGCAGCCCCUUUCUUGGCCCUCAGCGUUCCCUCGAUGACAGAAGGGAGCAACCCUAUAGGGCUGGGGACACAAACAAGACAGCAGACGGGCAAGGAGGAGGGAGAACCAGAAAGUUAAGAGCUCACACUCUGGGGUGAGCCGGCCUGGGUUUCCCUUCCUGCCAACUGCCAUGGCUGCUCCCGGCCUCAGGUGCUUUACCUGUAAAAUGCACAGGGGCCAAGCUAAGAAGACCAGCUGACUUAACCUGUACUGAGUUUGACAUGGACAAUAAGUGGAGCCCCCGAGCACAGCUGGGCAAUCAUAAGGCUCAGUCAAGACUGUGAUCUCAACAAGGGAAACGGGACAGGGAGCAACUUGCCGGCUGCAUGGCCCCGGGAGUGCUGCUACCCACUAGUGAUGGUCAGGCAGCAUCAGGGAGCUUGAGGGAUUCUCACUGCUCAGUUCCAAACUCUCUUGCUGUCUCCAGGAGACCACAGUGCCUAACUUCGUUCAGAAAAUCAGCAGACAGACCUGUGUUCACAUUCUGCCUCUGCCAGCUGGAACAGCCUCAGUUUCCUCAGCUGUUAAAUAGGGGCGUAGCAGCAGCCGCCUCUUAGAGCGGUGCCCAGACCUCAGCCCAUCCUAGCAGGAUGAAGUGCAGAGAGCCCGCUGGGGACCUGGCUAUGAGUCCAGUGGCAGCAAGACGGGGCUGCUCCUGCCUGGGAACGGGUGAUCAGAGCCAAGCCCAGCAAAGGGACUGAUCUAUCAAGGAGGACAGACAGGGACGUCUCCCAGAGCUUCACACAACCUAAGCCACCCUUAUCUGCAGGCCUGGGAGCCCCCAGGCUGCAUAGGCUACAGGUCUUGGGAGUCAUGACUGGCAGAGAUUUGGGGGACCAGCUGAGCCCCUUAGAGGCCAAGAUUGUUCUGGAGGCUGUGGAGAAGACCCCACCUGGAGAGAAGCACCCUCACAGAGCCCGCUCCUGCCCCCCAGAGCUUCAGCAGUCCGCAGUCCUCCUAUGCUACUAUCUCUAAGGACAGUGCGGAGCAUACAGGAGGUGCUCAGCAGACUCUCACCACGGAAGAGUUCCCCGGCAGCAGUGAUCCUUAGCAGGAUGAGACAUCACAACACCCUGCCUGUGUGCAGCUCCCCUUCCUGGACAGCCGGCCACCUGGUCCCCUCCUUCCUCGUCUCCCUUCAGCAGGGGACAGAAGGUGUCAUUCCCACCUGGCAGCCAGGAAGCCGUCUUUCCAUCCCUGCAGUGCAACAGGGCAAGGGAGAGACCGGUGCAAUUUUCUGGCUCACAGCGCGCGCCAGGGCUGCCUGGUGACACAGAGGGCCCGAGGGAGGCCCUGCUCCAGCAGAAGCAGCCUGGCACUCCUGCCCGGAGCCCGGCAGGGCUUCUCCAGCCCAGCCAGACUCAGAACUGGAGGGGUUUUGCGCAGGAGCCCCCCAGAUGUCAUCUGGGGCCUGGGCUCCCGCCCCUCACGUGCGCAUGGCACUGCCCCGUUACAGUUUACAGAGUGCGUUCACAGACAUUAUCAUGUUGGCUCCUAAACACCCCCUAAAAACCACAAUAAAUCUCUCACGUGCUGGCUCCUGA